rnacentral:rRNA from 1 species
AGAGUUUGAUCCUGGCUCAGGACGAACGCUGGCGGCGUGCUUAACACAUGCAAGUCGUACGAGCUUUGGAGGGCUUGCUCUUCAAGGUUAGUGGCGGACGGGUGCGUAACACGUGAGCAACUUGUCCUACGGUGGGGGAUAGCCGGCCCAACGGCCGGGUAAUACCGCGUAUUGGAUCGGCAUCGCAUGGUGCUGAUGUGAAAGCGGCCGCAAGGUCGCGCCGGAGGAGGGGCUCGCGGCGUAUCAGCUUGUUGGUGGGGUAACGGCCUACCAAGGCUACGACGCGUAGCUGGUCUGAGAGGAUGAUCAGCCACAUUGGGACUGAGAUACGGCCCAGACUCCUACGGGAGGCAGCAGUGGGGAAUAUUGCGCAAUGGCCGCAAGGCUGACGCAGCGACGCCGUGUGUAGGAUGAAGGCCCUCGGGUUGUAAACCACUGUCAGGAGGGACGAAUACUCGGCUUCAAAUAGUUGACCGAGGGUGACGGUACCUCCAGAGGAAGCACCGGCUAACUCCGUGCCAGCAGCCGCGGUAACACGGAGGGUGCGAGCGUUGUCCGGAUUCACUGGGCGUAAAGCGCGCGUAAGCGGUUUUGUAAGUCACCUGUGAAAUCCCGGGGCUCAACUCCCGGGCUGCCGGUGAUACUGCAG